UGGGGAAUCUUCCGCAAUGGACGAAAGUCUGACGGAGCAACGCCGCGUGAGUGAAGAAGGUUUUCGGAUCGUAAAACUCUGUCUUUUGGGGCGAACGUGAGUAUGGUGAACAAUCAUAGUCAGUGACGGUACCAAAGGAGGAAGCCACGGCUAACUACGUGCCAGCAGCCGCGGUAAUACGUAGGUGGCAAGCGUUGUCCGGAAUUAUUGGGCGUAAAGAGCGCGUAGGCGGGAUAGUCAGUCUGUUGUAAAGUGCGGGGCUCAACCCCGUGAUGGCAAUGGAAACAGCUAUUCUUGAGUGCAGGAGAGGAAAGUGGAAUUCCCAGUGUAGCGGUGAAAUGCGUAGAUAUUGGGAGGAACACCAGUGGCGAAGGCGACUUUCUGGACUGUGUCUGACGCUGAGGCGCGAAAGCCAGGGGAGCGAACGGGAUUAGAUACCCCCGGUAGUCCUGGCCGUAAACGAUGGGUACUAGGUGUGGGAGGUAUCGACCCCUUCCGUGCCGCAGUUAACACAAUAAGCACUCCGCCUGGGGAGUACGGCCGCAAGGUUGAAACUCAAAUGAAUUGACGGGGUC
rnacentral:rRNA from 1 species